UACAGAGGUCUCAAGCGUUGUUCGGAUUCAUUGGGCGUAAAGGGUGUGUAGGUGGCGCGCUAAGUCGGGUGUGAAAUUUCGGAGCUUAACUCCGAAACUGCAUUCGAUACUGGCGUGCUUGAGGACUGGAGAGGAGACUGGAAUUUACGGUGUAGCAGUGAAAUGCGUAGAUAUCAGGAGGAACACCGGUGGCGAAGGCGGAUCUCUGGGCCGAUACUGACGCUGAGGAGCGAAAGCGUGGGGAGCGAACAGG
rnacentral:rRNA from 1 species